UUCAUAUAGUACCGUCAGCCCCAAACACGUUCGGGGGUUUCUUCCUAUAUAAAAGCAGUUUACAACCCAUAGGGCCGUCUUCCUGCACGCGGCAUGGCUGGGUCAGACUUUCGUCCAUUGCCCAAUAUUCCUC
rnacentral:rRNA from 1 species